GAUGAACGCUGGCGGCGUGCCUAAUACAUGCAAGUCGAGCGAACGGACGAGAAGCUUGCUUCUCUGAUGUUAGCGGCGGACGGGUGAGUUACACGUGGAUAACCUACCUAUAAGACUGGGAUAACUUCGGGAAACCGGAGCUAAUACCGGAUAAUAUUUUGAACCGCAUGGUUCAAAAGUGAAAGACGGUCUUGCUGUCACUUAUAGAUGGAUCCGCGCUGCAUUAGCUAGUUGGUAAGGUAACGGCUUACCAAGGCAACGAUGCAUAGCCGACCUGAGAGGGUGAUCGGCCACACUGGAACUGAGACACGGUCCAGACUCCUACGGGAGGCAGCAGUAGGGAAUCUUCCGCAAUGGGCGAAAGCCUGACGGAGCAACGCCGCGUGAGUGAUGAAGGUCUUCGGAUCGUAAAACUCUGUUAUUAGGGAAGAACAUAUGUGUAAGUAACUGUGCACAUCUUGACGGUACCUAAUCAGAAAGCCACGGCUAACUACGUGCCAGCAGCCGCGGUAAUACGUAGGUGGCAAGCGUUAUCCGGAAUUAUUGGGCGUAAAGCGCGCGUAGGCGGUUUUUUAAGUCUGAUGUGAAAGCCCCACGGCUCAACCGUGGAGGGUCAUUGGAAACUGGAAAACUUGAGUGCAGAAGAGGAAAGUGGAAUUCCAUGUGUAGCGGUGAAAUGCGCAGAGAUAUGGAGGAACACCAGUGGCGAAAGCGACUUUCUGGGCUGUAACUGACGCUGAUGUGCGAAAGCGUGGGGAUCAAACAGGAUUAGAUACCCUGGUAGUCCACGCCGUAAACGAUGAGUGCUAAGUGUUAGGGGGUUUCCGCCCCUUAGUGCUGCAGCUAACGCAUUAAGCACUCCGCCUGGGGAGUACGACCGCAAGGUUGAAACUCAAAGGAAUUGACGGGGACCCGCACAAGCGGUGGAGCAUGUGGUUUAAUUCGAAGCAACGCGAAGAACCUUACCAAAUCUUGACAUCCUUUGACAACUCUAGAGAUAGAGCCUUCCCCUUCGGGGGACAAAGUGACAGGUGGUGCAUGGUUGUCGUCAGCUCGUGUCGCGAGAUGUUGGGUUAAGUCCCGCAACGAGCGCAACCCUUAAGCUUAGUUGCCAUCAUUAAGUUGGGCACUCUAAGUUGACUGCCGGUGACAAACCGGAGGAAGGUGGGGAUGACGUCAAAUCAUCAUGCCCCUUAUGAUUUGGGCUACACACGUGCUACAAUGGACAAUACAAAGGGCAGCGAAACCGCGAGGUCAAGCAAAUCCCAUAAAGUUGUUCUCAGUUCGGAUUGUAGUCUGCAACUCGACUACAUGAAGCUGGAAUCGCUAGUAAUCGUAGAUCAGCAUGCUACGGUGAAUACGUUCCCGGGUCU
rnacentral:rRNA from 1 species